GACGAACGCUGGCGGCGUGCUUAACACAUGCAAGUCGAACGGAAAGGCCCUGCUUUUGUGGGGUGCUCGAGUGUCGAACGGGUGAGUAACACGUGAGUAACCUGCCCUUGACUUUGGGAUAACUUCAGGAAACUGGGGCUAAUACCGGAUAGGAGCUCCUGCUGCAUGGUGGGGGUUGGAAAGUUUCGGCGGUUGGGGAUGGACUCGCGUCUUAUCAGCUUGUUGGUGGGGUAGUGGCUUACCAAGGCUUUGACGGGUAGCCGGCCUGAGAGGGUGACCGGCCACAUUGGGACUGAGAUACGGCCCAGACUCCUACGGGAGGCAGCAGUGGGGAAUAUUGCACAAUGGGCGGAAGCCUGAUGCAGCAACGCCGCGUGCGGGAUGACGGCCUUCGGGUUGUAAACCGCUUUCGCCUGUGACGAAGAGUGAGUGACGGUAAUGGGUAAAGAAGCACCGGCUAACUACGUG
rnacentral:rRNA from 1 species